UAAGCGGAGGAAAAGAAACUAACAAGGAUUCCCCUAGUAACUGCGAGUGAAGCGGGAAAAGCUCAAAUUUAAAAUCUGGUGGUCUUUGGCCAUCCGAGUUGUAAUCUAGAGAAGCGUCUUCCGCGCUGGACCGUGCACAAGUCUCCUGGAACGGAGCGUCGUAGAGGGUGAGAAUCCCGUCUUUGGCAUGGACACACCAGGGCUUUUGUGAUGCGCUCUCGAAGAGUCGAGUUGUUUGGGAAUGCAGCUCAAAAUGGGUGGUGAACUCCAUCUAAAGCUAAAUAUUGGCGAGAGACCGAUAGCGAACAAGUACCGUGAGGGAAAGAUGAAAAGCACUUUGGAAAGAGAGUGAAACAGUACGUGAAAUUGUUGAAAGGGAAACGCUUGAAGUCAGUCGCGUCGACCGAGACUCAGCCUCGCCUCGGCUUGGUGUACUUCUCGGCCCGACGGGUCAGCAUCAAUUUCGCCUCUUGGAUAAUGGCGAGGGAAACGUGACACCUUUACGGUGUGUUAUAGUCUCUCGUCGCAUGCAAGGGUCGGGAUUGAGGAACUCAGCACGCCCCUUUGGGCGUCGGGGCUUUGCCUACGAUACGUGCUUAGGAUGUUGGCGUAAUGGCUUUAAACGACC
rnacentral:rRNA from 1 species